rnacentral:tRNA from 1 species
GCGGGCAUAACUCAGUGGUAGAGUGUCAGCUUCCCAAGCUGAAGGUCGUGGGUUCGAAUCCCAUUGCCCGCU